rnacentral:rRNA from 1 species
GCAAGUCGAGCGCACUUUUCGGAGUGAGCGGCGGACGGGUUAGUAACGCGUGGGAACAUACCCUUUUCUGCGGAAUAGCCAUUGGAAACGAUGAGUAAUACCGCAUACGCCCUUCGGGGGAAAGAUUUAUCGGUGAAGGAUUGGCCCGCGUUAGAUUAGAUAGUUGGUGGGGUAAUGGCCUACCAAGUCUACGAUCUAUAGCUGGUUUGAGAGGAUGAUC